AGACUGAUCAUUUAACCAAAUAUUCUUUGUGUGGCUUAAACUUUGGAGGAUUAAUUUAAACACAAUUAAAUUGUCUUUUUUAAUCAACUGUUGUUUGCAGGGAGAGAGGGGCAAGAAAGGCAACAGGGGGGCCAAAGGGGAUAAGGGAGACCAAGGAGCACCUGGAUUAGAUGCCCCCUGUCCGUUGGGAGACGAUGGUUUACCUGUACCAGGAUGUUGGAAUAAAGGCCAGCAUCCGUUCCAGCUGGCUAAGAAGUAGCGUGGGGCUCCCUAAGGACGGCCUGUCUGAAACCUUCCCCGAGCCUGGAGUUGGCCUUUGAAGCUUUUCUUUAGGACUGGAACCAGGGCCAGUAACGUGGGACGCUGCACUGGCAGCUUCACUCAGUCUGCAGUGAGUCACGGAGCAUUCUUUAUUCUACACUACAACCAAGUCGUCACAGGGACUCAUAUUUUCAUCUUUUAUGAAAAUAAGCUGCGACUUGAACCUUUUGAUGCGCGUUCUGUUUGAAGUCACUUGUGGACAUGUGAAGAAGAAGAAGAAGAAGAAGAAGAAGAAGAAGAAGAAGAAGAAGAAGAAGAAGAAGAAGAAGAUGAUGCAAUGAUUCCUCAGUGACAGCUGGCCCACUGCAUUCUACUCUCUUCACCUGCAGCUAUGACUUUUAAUCCUUGUGUGGACACAACACACGUUGAAGCCAGUUUCACACCUGGACAACUAUGUAUUGAUCUUUUUUUUUCCAUUCAGGUGUAAAACCGCAAUAAUCCAGUUGAAUAGAUGUAAGUGUUGAUGACGUGUGGGGAUUUGUAAAUAGAAUGCAUGAAUGAAAAAGCAAUGAAACUUUUUAAAGGGGCAUUAGUCUUGGUUUGGGUAGAGAACCAAUAAUUCAUCACGCAAUUAAAAGAUCAUUUGCUCAAAAAAAAAAAAAAAAACAUAAAAGGUGUAAAUUGCUGCUCUAAAGUUAGUUCUGAUCUCCACUGUAAACUCUCUCAGACUGACUUUGUUGGUAAAGUUUGGUGCAUUGCAUUACAUUUUGCUUAGAAAAUUAUUAAAAUAUAUAUAUAUGUAUAGAUCAUAAUGAUGGAAUGAAUGAGUGAAAACACACAUUUUAAAUAAUCUCACUUUGUAAUUAAGUGGAAAUAACAGUAUUUAGUGCAGUGGUUCACAACUUUGUUUGGGUCAUGACCCCAUUUUGAUAUUGAGCGUUUCUGGCGACUACAAAGACAUUUUUUUUCCUACAAUCAGUUUUUGAUAAUUUUUUAGUUCAAAUAUUUGUUUUUCUUAAAUGCAUUUUAGUUGAACUCGAUUUAUAUUCAACAAAGUACCUUAAAAGUAUAGAUAUACAGAAAUUGUGUUUGAAUUAAAAAAAAAAAAAAAAAGAAUAAUCAUUUAAAAAUAUCUAUAUAAAUUUCAACCCCAAGGUUGAAAACACACUGACUUAGUUGCUGCUGAAUAGAUUUAUUUCUAUAGUUUGCAUCAUUUCCGGUCAACUCACGUCUGGAGUGUGACCAAGACUGAUUAAUUGUUCAUUGUUCACCCCUAAGGGUACACAUACCUCUAUUUGAGAAACACUGCUGUAGACGGUUCACUUUUACUGUGAUUUCUUGUGUGAGGACAGUGAUUGGUUUGACUCCACGCUUGUUCUAGAUUGUUCCCAGUAUUCCCAGUGAUAUCUCCUCACUCUAUAACACAUUCAUUUUCAGAUAGAUCCACAUAUUUCUGUGUGAACACCAAAAUAAACAUCAUUUUACAGCAACUUUUAGUGAAAAC
ensembl:lncRNA